AGAGUUUGAUCCUGGCUCAGAACGAACGCUGGCGGCGUGCUUAACACAUGCAAGUCGAACGAGAAAGCUUCUUUCGGGAAGUGAGUAGAGUGGCGCACGGGUGAGUAACGCGUAGGUAAUCUACCCUUAUAUUUGGGAUAACAUCGGGAAACUGGUGCUAAUACCGAAUGGUCUUCAUUGCUGCGGGGCGAUGAAGUAAAGGUGGCCUCUUCAUGAAAGCUACCGUGUAGGGAUGAGCUUGCGUACCAUUAGCUAGUAGGUGGGGUAAUGGCCCACCUAGGCAACGAUGGUUAGCGGGUCUGAGAGGAUGAUCCGCCACACUGGAACUGGAACACGGACCAGACUCCUACGGGAGGCAGCAGUGAGGAAUAUUGCGCAAUGGGGGAAACCCUGACGCAGCGACGCCGCGUGAGUGAGGAAGGUUUUCGGAUCGUAAAGCUCUGUCAGAAGGGAAGAAGUGUUAUAUGGUUAAUACCCAUGUAAUUUGACGGUACCUUCAGAGGAAGCACCGGCUAACUCCGUGCCAGCAGCCGCGGUAAUACGGAGGGUGCGAGCGUUGUUCGGAAUUACUGGGCCGUAAAGGGCGCGUAGGCGGCCUGAUAAGUCAGAUGUGAAAGUCCACGGCUCAACCGUGGAAGUGCAUUUGAAACUGUCAGGCUUGAGUAUCGGAGGGGAGUGUGGAAUUCCCGGUGUAGAGGUGAAAUUCGUAGAGAUCGGGAGGAACACCGGUGGCGAAGGCGACACUCUGGACGAAUACUGACGCUGAGGCGCGAAAGCGUGGGGAGCAAACAGGAUUAGAUACCCUGGUAGUCCACGCCGUAAACGAUGUGAACUAGAGAUAGGGGGUGUUGAUCCCUCCUGUCCCGCAGCUAACGCAUUAAGUUCACCGCCUGGGGAGUACGGUCGCAAGAUUAAAACUCAA
rnacentral:rRNA from 1 species